UACGAAGGGGGCUAGCGUUGCUCGGAAUCACUGGGCGUAAAGCGCACGUAGGCGGCUUACUAAGUCAGGGGUGAAAUCCUGGAGCUCAACUCCAGAACUGCCUUUGAUACUGGUGAGCUUGAGUUCGGGAGAGGUGAGUGGAACUGCGAGUGUAGAGGUGAAAUUCGUAGAUAUUCGCAAGAACACCAGUGGCGAAGGCGGCUCACUGGCCCGAUACUGACGCUGAGGUGCGAAAGCGUGGGGAGCAAACAGGAUUAGAAACCCCAGUAGUCC
rnacentral:rRNA from 1 species